rnacentral:rRNA from 1 species
UUUGUACACACCGCCCGUCGCUACUACCGAUUGAAUGGCUCAGUGAGGCCUUCGGACUGGCUCAGGGAGGUCGGCAACGACCACCCAGAGCCGGAAAGUUCGUCAAACUCGGUCAUUUAGAGGAAGUAAAAGUCGUAACAAGGUCUCCGUAGGUGAACCUGCGGAGGGAUCAUUA